rnacentral:rRNA from 1 species
GACGAACCGAGCGAACGUUAUUCGGAAUCACUGGGCUUAAAGGGCGCGUAGGCGGGCGGCCAAGUCAGGGGUGAAAGCCCCCAGCUCAACUGGGGAAGUGCCUUUGAUACUGGUCAUCUCGAGGGAGAUAGGGGCGUGCGGAACUUCCGGUGGAGCGGUGAAAUGCGUAGAUAUCGGAAGGAACACCGGUGGCGAAAGCUGCGCGCUGGAUCUCUUCUGACGCUGAGGCGCGAAAGCCAGGGGAGCGAACGGG